rnacentral:lncRNA from 1 species
GAUGCGGGUGAUAUUACGCUGGAGCUGCUGUGUGCGGGAGGCAUUCCCACCCUUCGGGCUCUUUACGAGCGGACCGCGGUGUCAGGGCCGGCAGCGGGACACGGCCGCGCUCGGGUCACGGCCCUCACCCCGCGCCCGGGGCGCGCCGAGCCGGGCUGGGCGGGGCCGCGGCUCCCACCGGCUCUGGCCCCGCGCCCGCCGGGGCUGCAGCGCCCGCGGGGCGGAACGGGAGGCGCCUCUGCCGGCACAGCACGGGCUCGGGGCGGCGGGGCCGGCCGGGCGGAGCGGGCUGAGGGCCCGGGCGGAGCGGGCUGUGAGGGCUCGGCCCGUCCCGCCCCGGCCGCGGCCCCGCGCGGGCGCACUGCGCGCGCCGGGAGAGGGAGGGAGCGGGGGAGGGAGGGGCGCGCAGGCGCGGGGCGCGCGCCGGGCGGGGCCGCGCGGGAGCCGGCGGGGGGUUCCGCGCGCCCGCGGCCGCCGCCCGCGGGGCCGGUGAAGGGGCGGCGGCGCUGCCGGCGCGGGGCCGGGGCCGGUGCGGGGGCGGUGCCGGGGGCUUUGCGGCGCUGCCGGCGAGCGGCGGCGCUGCCGCUCCCGAAGCCGACGGCGCACAAAGGGCACCCCCCCACACCCCGAACCAACCCCCCCGCCGCAAAAACGCACCCCAAGCGCGGCCCCCUCCGCCGGCGCUCAGGUGGGGCUGGCGGCGGACGCUCGGGAGCGCGGGUCUGGGGGAGGUGGGGGGAGCGGCGGCCGGCGGGCCGGGGCCCGGCAUUGUUCGGCAGCCGACAACAAAGAGCGGGGCCGGGCCGGGCCGGGCCGGGGGGGCAGCGCCGGCCCCUCCGCGCCGCCCCGGCCAAUCGCGGCGCGCGGCGGCGGCGCGCGGUGACAGCGAGCGGCGCUUACGCUGCGGCGCCCGGCGCGGCCCCCGCUCCCCGCCCCGCGCCCGCCCGCCUCUCCAGAGCCGUCUGGCUGCAGCAGAGCCUCAGACAGAGGAGGGGAGAGGAGGAAAAAAAAACGCUGAGUGAGUGGAGUGGAGCCUGGGAGGGGCUCCUUAAAGAAACGCUGCCGCCGCUUGGCAUUGUGGCCGGCGAGGAACUCGAGGGGGGGAAGCCAUCGGAGCUCCUCUCGCUUAUCCUCUUCCCACCCCCCCCACCCCACCCCCAGCCGACA